ACGACUACAUAUCAGGCAUAUCAAUAAGCGGAGGAAAAGAAACUAACAAGGAUUCCCUUAGUAACGGCGAGUGAAGCGGGAAGAGCUCAAAUUUGAAAUCUUCAAGGUUCUACCUUGACGAAUUGUAGUUUAAAGAAGUGUUUUCUGUUAGAUGAGUAGCAAAAGUUCCUUGGAAUGGGACAUCAUAGAGGAUGAGAAUCCCGUAUUUGGUUAUUCAUUCUAGCUUUGUGAUACACUUUCAAAGAGUCGGAUUGUUUGGGAAUGCAGUCCAAAAUGGGUGGUAAAUUUCAUCUAAAGCUAAAUAUUGGCGAGAGACCGAUAGCGAACAAGUACCGUGAGGGAAAGAUGAAAAGAACUUUGAAAAGAGAGUUAAACAGUACGUGAAAUUGUCAAAAGGGAAGCGUUUGACACCAGUGUUGUUUUUCCGAAAAUCAAUUACGAAUGGCUUGAUUUUGUGUUGUAUUGACCUUAUCAGCUUUCUUCACUUUUUUCGAGUCUUUCUUAAUGCACUUUUCGGUUAACAAGUCAACAUCAAUUUCUUUUGUUGUAAAAGAGUAUUCGGAAGGUGGCUUUCUUUUCGGAGAAAGUGUUUAUAGCCCUAUACUUCUACAAUCGGAGAGAUUGAGGUCUGCAGCGUAGAUCCUUCGGGGUUAGAUACACUUUGUGCUAAGUUGUAGCUUUUCAUAGACAACUUGUUGACUAUGUUUAGUCAUGCGGCUUACUCGCUUAGUGCUAUUUUACCUACGCUUAGGAUGUUGAGUAGCGACAUACGCAC
rnacentral:rRNA from 1 species